rnacentral:lncRNA from 1 species
AUGCCAGGAAAUAGAACACUAACUUCAAAGCAAGGGUCAUUGUGUUCAACAAUGGAAAUUCACAGACUCAAUCUGCAAUUGCUAUUCAUCAAAACCCAUGUGGGUAAAGACACUGAUUUCAACAAUUUCCAUCCCACCAUCAACCUCAGCCUGGACCAGUCCACACAAGAGAUCCACUUCCUGGACACUACAGUGCUAGUAAGCGAUGGUCACAUAAACACUACCCUAUACCGGAAACCUACUGACCGCUAUACUUACCUACAUGCCUCCAGCUUCCAUCCAGACCACAUCACACGAUCCAUUGUCUACAGCCAAGCUCUAAGAUACAACAGCAUUUGCUCCAAUCCUUCAGACAGAGACAAACACCUACAAGAUCUCUAUCAAGCAUUCUUAAAACUACAAUACCCACCUGCUGAAGUGAAGAAACAGAUUGAUAGAGCCAGAAGAAUACCCAGAAGUCACCAACUCCAGGACAGGCCCAACAAAGAAAGUAACAGAAUGCCACUAGCUGUCACCUUCAGCCCCCAACUAAAACCUCUCCAGUGCAUCAUCAAGGAUCUACAACCUAUCCUGAAGGACAAUCCCUCACUCUCACAGAUCUUGGGAGACAGGCCAGUCCUCGCUUACAGACAGCCCCCCAACCGGAAGCAAAUACUCACCAGCAACUACACACCACACAACAAAAACACUAACCCAGGAACCUAUCCUUGCAACAAAGCCCGUUGCCAACUCUGUCCACAUAUCUAUUCAAGGGACACCAACAUAGGACCUAAUCACAUCAGCCACACCAUCAGAGGCUCAUUCACCUGCACAUCUACCAAUGUGAUAUAUGCCAUCAUGUGCCAGCAAUGCCCCUCUGCCAUGUACAUUGGCCAAACCGGACAGUCUCUACACAAAAGAAUAAAUGGACACAAAUCAGACGUCAAGAAUUAUAACAUUCAAAAACCAGUCGGAGAACACUUCAACCUUCCUGAUCACUCAAUUACAGACCUAAAAGUCGCAAUUAUUUAA